CCUUGUUGUCCGUGCUUUGUGACGCACCAAUUCCGUGUAUUUUUCCAGCAAGGAAAAUUGUGAUGUUGCAGUAAAGCCAGGAGAGUGUCCACCCCAAACACCUGGAAGCUCCUGUACCAGGUUAUGUGACUGUGACUCUAGCUGUCCUGACAAUGAGAAGUGUUGCAGCAAUGGAUGUGGACGUUCCUGUACAUCUCCUUAUACAGUGAAGCCGGGUCAAUGUCC